CGUCUCGUAACAACUGGUCAAUGGAGGCAACUCUGAACCAGCCAUGCCGCGUGCAGGAUGACGGUCCUAUGGAUUGUAAACUGCUUUUGUACGGGAAGAAAUGUAAUUACGAGUAAUUAUUUGACGGUACCGUAAGAAUAAGGAUCGGCUAACUCCGUGCCAGCAGCCGCGGUAAU
rnacentral:rRNA from 1 species